CUUGUAGAGUUGCCUAGGCUGGGCUCAAACCUGAAAUCCCACCUCAGCCUCCCACGUGUUGGGAUUACAGGUAUGUGCCACCAUACCCUGCUCAGGAUGUAAUUUUCAAUGAGAAGUUGGGAAAGGGUGAAUGAGAAGGUGGUAUUUGAAUAAAUACUAAAAACAUAUAAAGGAUUAUACGACACAGGGGAAGAGGUUCCAGGCAGAGGAACACAGCAGUGCAGACUGGUUUAUGCGUGAAAUGGGCAGCAGGGCCCUUCCCUUCCCUCCUGGGGACUCACACGGUGGGAGAAAGCAAAGGUGACAGGGGAGGCCAGCUUGUCCGUGUCGGUGUUGCUCAGAAAGACGGAGUUGACAGCUGAGAGGAGUGUGCCCUGCACCCUGCGGACAGGUCUCUCGUGGGCCUCUGUCAGCUGUGCUAGCUUUUCGGGCUCCAGGGCCAGGGAAGCGUUGGCCAGCAGCUCCUCCAUAUGCUGGCUGGACAGGAUCCCCACCACAGUGGGGUCUGGGGAUGGACACGCUGCCACUGCACCUCGUGCCCUGGCACUCUGCACCCCACACUCCCACCCAAGGCGUCCCGGUUCUGGCCCCGUCCCUCCCACGAUGGCUCAGUUUCUCCCAGGUCCAACCCUGUCCCUCUCCACCUCCUUCCCAGCCCUCACCUGAGUCCUCUGCUCCUGUUGCCACAGCCCAGUCCAGCAGCAUCCUCGCGUGGCUCUGGCCCAAGGUGACAUUUCCUUGGCCGUUCUCCGUGACCAUCAGGGACAGCUCUGAGGGAAGGGGGGAUGCGUAGGUGAAGCUGCCCUCAGGGAGGGCCUGGGCCAGGGACCUCAGGGUGUGCUCGAGGUCUGAGAGCAGCCAGGUGGCCACUAGGUGCUGGUCUUCCCGGGACAGGUUCUUUAUGUCCCCAGGAACUUCCAGCAGCCCAUCCAUGGCCUCAAGGAGUUUCUGGGGGUGAGGAGUGGCAGAGAUGUCAGGUUAGGGAACCACAGGCAGAAGGACCCAGCCCUUGACCGGCCCCACCGGGGACCCAGUCCUGGGGAUCAUCAGUGCCAUGCAGUAGCCA
rnacentral:lncRNA from 1 species